rnacentral:SRP_RNA from 2 species
GCUGGGCGUGGUGGCACACGCCUGUAAUCCCAGCUACUCGGGAGGCUGAGGCAGGGGGAUGGCUUGAACCCAGGAGGUGGAGGUUGCAGUGAGCCGAAAUUACGCCACUGCACUCCAGCCUGGGUGACAGAGUGAGACUCUGUCUCAA